GCCCGGAAAGGGUGGAGCACAACGUCGAAAGCAGCCGUUGGGAGCCCAGGAGGCGGGGCGCCUGUGGGAGCCGUGGAGGGAACUUUCCCAGUCCCCGAGGCGGAUCCGGUGUUGCAUCCUUGGAGCGAGCUGAGAGCUCGAGUACAGAACCUGCUAAGGCCAUCAAACCUAUUGAUCGGAAGUCAGUCCAUCAGAUUUGCUCUGGGCCGGUGGUACCGAGUCUAAGCACUGCGGUGAAGGAGUUAGUAGAAAACAGUCUGGAUGCUGGUGCCACUAAUAUUGAUCUAAAGCUUAAGGACUAUGGAGUGGAUCUCAUUGAAGUUUCAGGCAAUGGAUGUGGGGUAGAAGAAGAAAACUUCGAAGGCUUAACUCUGAAACAUCACACAUCUAAGAUUCAAGAGUUUGCCGACCUACCUCAGGUUGAAACUUUUGGCUUUCGGGGGGAAGCUCUGAGCUCACUUUGUGCACUGAGUGAUGUCACCAUUUCUACCUGCCAUGUAUCGGCGAAGGUUGGGACUCGACUGGUGUUUGAUCACUAUGGGAAAAUCAUCCAGAAAACCCCCUACCCCCACCCCAGAGGGAUGACAGUCAGUGUGAAGCAGUUAUUUUCUACGCUACCUGUGCACCAUAAAGAAUUUCAAAGGAAUAUUAAGAAGUGAGUGAGCGCUCAUGGGAUCUGGUUGUUUAGAAGCAUGCACCACCUCCCGCUUCACUCUCUCUGUCUCUCCUGCUCCACCAUGGCCAGAAACGUGCCUGCUUCCCCUUCGCCUUCUGCCGUGAUUGUCAGUUUCCUGAGGCCUCCCCAGCCAUGCUUCCUGUACAGCCUGCAGAACUGUGAGUCAAUUAAACCUGUUUUCUUCAUAAAUUCCCCAGUUUCCAGUA
rnacentral:lncRNA from 1 species